GCCCAUAGCUCAGUGGUAGAGCAAAUUGCUUUCUAUGCGGAAAGUUCCAGGUUCAAUCCCUGGCACUCCAGGUUGGGCU